CUGUGGGUGCUCCUGGUGCCGGGGGCUGGGGAAUUUCCGCGGCGCUCAGUUCGCGUCUGCACCUCAGGAGUGGUAGUCUGACUGCACCUUCCAAAGGAAAGCGUCUGUUGGGCCUUCGUAUUCGUCCAGCGUGAGGUGUUUUGACAGUUUCUGGUGUCAGAAAUGGGAUCUGAAGAAGAGCCCUAAAGAGCCCCCAGAUCCCGAAUAACUCCUGCUUCUCUUCAAUCUCAGCUGCUUAUUUCACUGGGGAAAAAAAAAUAACAAGAGGACUUGACUUCCACAGGUGCUCACCACCAAGCUGUCCUACCUCCACCUGGAUUCACACUGUCUUCCCACUUGUCCUAGUCCAUUUGGGCUGCUAUGACAGAGUUCCACAGACUUGGUGGCUUAUAACAACAAAAAUUUCCUUCUCGUGGUUCUGAAGGCUGGAAGUCCAAGAUCGGUGCAUUAUGGUCGGGUUCUGGUGAAGACCAUAUCGUGGGUUGCCAACUGCUGACUUCUCACUGGCUCUUCACAUGUGGAGGGAGUGAGGGAUCUCUCUGGGGUCUCUUUUAGAAGGGCACUAAUUCCAAUCAGGAGGGCUCCACGCUCAUGACCUCAUCACCUCCCAAAGGCCCCACCUCCUAAUCCAAUCACUUUGGGGGUCAUAUUUCAGGAUAUGAAUGGAGGGGGCAGGAAUAUUCAGACCCUAGCAUCACCUGUUGUAUUGGAUAAACUGUCUGUGCUCACAUGUAA